GACGGAGGGUGCAAGCGUUGCUCGGAAUCAUUGGGCGUAAAGGGUGCGUAGGCGGCUUUUUAAGUCUGACGUGAAAGCCCAGGGCUUAGCCUUGGAAGUGCGCCAGAAACUGGAAGGCUAGAGUGCCGGAGGGGAGAGUGGAAUUCCUGGUGUAGCGGUGAAAUGCGUAGAUAUCAGGAGGAAUACCGGUGGCGAAGGCGGGUCUCUGGGCCGAUACUGACGCUGAGGAGCGAAAGCGUGGGGAGCGAACAGG
rnacentral:rRNA from 1 species